GACGAACGCUGGCGGCGUGCUUAACACAUGCAAGUCGAACGGAAAGGCCCUGCUUUUGUGGGGUGCUCGAGUGGCGAACGGGUGAGUAACACGUGAGUAACCUGCCCUUGACUUUGGGAUAACUUCAGGAAACUGGGGCUAAUACCGGAUAGGAGCUCCUGCUGCAUGGUGGGGGUUGGAAAGUUUCGGCGGUUGGGGAUGGACUCGCGGCUUAUCAGCUUGUUGGUGGGGUAGUGGCUUACCAAGGCUUUGACGGGUAGCCGGCCUGAGAGGGUGACCGGCGACGGGUGGACGGAGAGGCGGGCCGGACGCGGGCGGCGGGCAGUGGGGGGAAGGACAGCAUCAUGGACGGGAGCCGGGGGCGGGAGAGCGGGGGGGGGGGGGACGGCCGUGGGGUUGGAGCCAGCUGGCGGGGGGGGGGCGGCGUGCGUGAGGGUGAGAGCUAAAGAACCACGGGCUAACGACGGGCCAGCAGGCGCGGUAAUAGAGGAACGGCCCACGUCUGACC
rnacentral:rRNA from 1 species